ensembl:snoRNA small nucleolar RNA SNORD65
AAAUGAUGAAAUCACCUAAAAAAGCUGGAAUUACCGGCAGAUUGUGUGGUGGUGAACCUACGGUUAAAGAAGACACUGAAG